UGGGGAAUAUUGCACAAUGGGCGAAAGCCUGAUGCAGCAACGCCGCGUGAGGGAUGACGGCUUCGGGUUGUAAACCUCUUUUAGCAGGGAAGAAGCGAAAGUGACGGUACCUGCAGAAAAAGCGCCGGCUAACUACGUG
rnacentral:rRNA from 1 species